UGGGGAAUAUUGCGCAAUGGGGGGAACCCUGACGCAGCCAUGCCGCGUGACUGAAGAAGGCCUUCGGGUUGUAAAGUUCUUUCGGUAUUGAGGAAGGUUGAUGUGUUAAUAGCACAUCAAAUUGACGUUAAAUACAGAAGAAGCACCGGCUAACUCCGUGCCAGCAGCCGCGGUAAUACGGAGGGUGCGAGCGUUAAUCGGAAUAACUGGGCGUAAAGGGCACGCAGGCGGUUAUUUAAGUGAGGUGUGAAAGCCCCGGGCUUAACCUGGGAAUUGCAUUUCAGACUGGGUAACUAGAGUACUUUAGGGAGGGGUAGAAUUCCACGUGUAGCGGUGAAAUGCGUAGAGAUGUGGAGGAAUACCGAAGGCGAAGGCAGCCCCUUGGGAAUGUACUGACGCUCAUGUGCGAAAGCGUGGGGAGCAAACAGGAUUAGAUACCCUGGUAGUCCACGCUGUAAACGCUGUCGAUUUGGGGGUUGGGGUUUAACUCUGGCGCCCGUAGCUAACGUGAUAAAUCGACCGCCUGGGGAGUACGGCCGCAAGGUUA
rnacentral:rRNA from 1 species